UACGUAGGGUCCGAGCGUUGUCCGGAAUUAUUGGGCGUAAAGAGCUCGUAGGCGGCAUGUCGCGUCUGCUGUGAAAGCCCGGGGCUUAACUCCGGUUCUGCAGUGGAUACGGGCAUGCUAGAGGUAGGUAGGGGAAACUGGAAUUCCUGGUGUAGCGGUGAAAUGCGCAGAUAUCAGGAGGAACACCGGUGGCGAAGGCGGGUUUCUGGGCCUUACCUGACGCUGAGGAGCGAAAGCAUGGGGAGCGAACAGG
rnacentral:rRNA from 1 species